CACAAGACGGCUUCUGGGACUGGGACUACAACUAGGACGGACACACACAAACAAAGGAUAAGGAUAUCUAACUGUAAGCAGAGAGAAAACGGCAGUAACAAGAAGUUAAUCAUCUGACAAAGAAGCGUGAGGAAGAGCAGGGAGAAAUAGCAAAGAGAAUCAGAGAAGAAGUGCAACAGGUGUGAGAGCAAUCAGCGCAAACGUCGACAGUAAUGACAAACAGCUGAAUCCAAUAGGCAAUGAAGGCAGAGGGAACAAAGGAGAAAAAUCAAACCCGGCUCAUGACAAUUACGAAGUUUGUCCUUUUUGCAGGUACCAUUAAGGUGUCCGCCACAAAUAAAGGGUGUGCAAAGGAUUGUGUACCAGGGACCCAACAGCUGGCAGGUGGAGGAACAGUGUCUGUCCACUGCUGUGACACUGAUCUUUGCAAUGCAGCAGAUCCUUUCCCAAUGGGGCUGGGGAUUUACCAGAUCUGAUCUUUUACUCUUUGCAAGAGUAUGUGCAGGUGAAUGAUCUGGAUACACCUUUUAUACUUGGGAGGCCUGGCCGAAAGUGGUUCCAGAGAUUUAUGAGAGACCAUCCCGAGUUGGCGGUCAAAAAAUCUGAGCAGUUUUCUGAGUCAAGGGCCAGGGCAAUGAAUGACACUGCCGUUCUUGACCACUGGUUUAAUGAAGUUCUCAAAAAAAAACAAUGGAUGACUCACAGUUGCGUGAUAAACCACAGAACAUAUUCAAUGUGGAUGAAACUGGAUUCAUGACCAAUCCUGCCUCAGAGAGGGUCCUUGCACCAAAACACAGGGGGAAGUGGUAAAGAGCAGAUAACUCUGUGCAUUACGGGCAAUGCAGCAGGUCAAAGUUUGCCACCCUUUACAUUCUACAAGGCAAAACACCUCUACAGCUCUUGGUGUGUUGGUGGUGUAGAAGCUGCCAGGUAUGCUGUGUCCCAUCAUGGAUGGGUGGAGAGAGGAUUACUUCAAAAACCUUUUCUUGCCAGAGUCUGCAAAGUAUUCAGUCCCAAACUUUCCAAGGAUUCUCAUUUUCAUUGGCCAUGCAUCACACAUCUCCCUCAAGUUGGCUCAAAUGGCAGAGGAAAACAAUGUCAAACUCCUGCGACUUCCAUCUCAACUCACUCACAUUCUUCAGCCUUUGGAUAAGGCAGUAUUUUGAGAGGUUAAAAGGCAGUGGAGAAAGAAACUGUUGUGUCAUGCACGGGUGUCCAGGGACAAGAUCAGGAGAGAAGAUUUACCUGCAAAGAUCAGUGAGGUAUUGGAGACAUCUCUAAAAUCCCAGAACUUAAGAAGUGAGUUUGAAGCCACUGGGAUUUUUCCAUGUAACCGAAAUCGGGUAAAAAGCCAAAUAACAGAGGUCUAUACACCAUAUGCAGAGGCAGUCACUGAUUCUUCAGAGAGUGUUCCUACACUGCAUCAACCACCAGAGCCCACUACUGAUCAGAGUACCACCAAAAGUCUGCAGACUAACAGAAGUGUAUCUCCACUCCAGACAUUGCCAGUGAACUCCAUGUGGAUUCCAUGUCUCAGAUUGUUCUGAGUGUGGAAACAAUCCAUGGAUCAAACGUUCUCAACAUAAAAAACGUCCAUGUUGCAAGAGAUAACUAACGUAGCUCAGGCAAGCACUUCAAAGGGCACCAACUCUGCUUCUAGCAUUAAAGGUGCCCUAGAACACUAUUUCACAAGAUGUAAUAUAAGUCUAAGGUGUCUCCAGAAUGUGUCUGUGAAGUUUCAGCUCAAAAUACCCCAUAGAUUUUUUAUUAUACAAUGUUUUAACUGCCUAUUUUGGGAUGUAAUUAAAUAUGCGCCGAUUUAGUGCGUGUCCCCUUUAAAUGCUCGUGCUCCCCGCCCCCAAGCUGGCAAGAGUCGCAACUCCAUAAUACAUUUUAUAAACAAAAGUUCACACAGCUCUCUCAAAAUGGAUCUUUACAAAGUGUUCUUGAUGCUGCAUAUCAGAUCACGUAAGUAUGGUAAUUAUUUUUAUGGAUGUUUACAUUUGAUUCUAAAUGAGUUUGAUAGUAGGCUAUGCUCCGUGGCUAACGGGGCUAAUGCUACACUGUUGGAGAGAUUUCUAAAGAAUGAAGAUGUGUUUAUGAAUUAUACAGACUGCAAGUGUUUAAUAAUAAAAAUAACGAUGGCUCUUGUCUCCGUGAAUACAGUAAGAAACAAUGGUAACUUUAACCACAUUUAACAGUACAUUAGCAACAUGCUAACGAAACAUUUAAAAAGACAAUUUACAAAUAUCACCAUCUCCAUCUGCCAUUUUCGCUAUUGUCACUGCUUGCUUGCUUCACAAUACCUGCAGAACUUAUGAUGAUUCGGCUGUACUGCUCCAGACGUUAAUACUGGUUUGCUUUGAGCAUGGGCUGGCAUAUGCAAAAGAUGGAGGCGUACAUAUUAAUGAUCCUGACUGUUGCGUCACAGUCGGUGUUAUGUUGAGAUUCACCUGUUCUUCAGAGGUCUUUUGCACAAAUCAAAUUUACAUAUGAAGGAGGAAACAAUGGUGUUUGAGACUCACUGUAUGUCAUUUCCAUGUAUAGAACUCUUAUUAUUCAACUAUGCCAAGGUAAAUUCAAUUUUCAAUUCUAGGGCACCUUUAAGGAUUUUUUUCUUGAAGCACAUUACACCAAACAAAAAAGAAAGCGCCAAAAAAACGGAGAAUAAAUACACUAAAGUAUAGCGAAAAUGUAACAUCUCAAGAAGCCAUGACCAGGCUAGCUGAGAAGGAAAACAUAAAAAACACACAA